CAGUAUAAAUUACUUUUAAUAUAUCGACUUUGUGGCUCGUAUAUGAUUGUUUUUCUUUUAUAUUUUUGGAAGUCAAAAUUCAAAACAUUUUGUGCACGUAAAAUUAAGAUUAUCAACUAAAAUUAGGAGUAAACUUCAGAUUGUUGCAAGUAUGACGUCGAACAACAAGGAUUUUUGCAUACUUGAUCCGAAUUUCACGAUAGUAUACAUGUUUCUUGAUAAAUUUUCCGAUGCUUGUGGUGUUAAUAAACUGGAUAUAAACAAUUUGAGUGCUAUGAUUCAGGAUAGUAAAACAGUAGCACCUGCGUUAGAAGAACUACACAUAAAACUGCUUCGAAAAAUAAGAAAAUCAGUUCCAGUUGGAAAAUGGGAAAAUGCUUUGGCAAAGUUUGCGCAUACUUAUUCCAAUCAAGAUGCGUGGGAGCUGGAGCGAUUUGGAUAUAGAAACGCCAAUUCAGCUGUUAAACUAAGAAUUUUAAAGGUUUUGCUGGAAGCUCAAUUUGAUCGAAACAGUAAAUUCAAAGGAUAUAUAAAUGGAUUUACUGCAGAAGAAUUACGUUCCAAACCCAUUGGCAAAGACAUUUUCGGCAAUAGCUACUGGUGCAUUAUGGAUCAUAAUUACAGCAUAAAAAUUUUCAGAGAGAAUAUGGAUGAUGAAACAUGGAAUCUUGUGGCAAGUAAUCGUGACGAACUGGCAUUAUUGAUAGAAAAAUUUCAACAAACUAAAGAUUUGAAUAAUGAAGUUGACGAUAAAAUGAAUAAUGCCACCACAGCGUGUUUUGAAUCGAAGAUUAUAUUGAAAUAUGAUGAUUCGGAGUCUUCACUAAUAAUAGAUAGAAGAGCAUAUAAAAAAGAUUUUUCAACCGAAUGCUCUAAGUCAAAAGAAAAUUUGUGUUUCAUAAACACAGGAAUCGAUUACCCGGACAACUCAGUUGAAGAUGUAGUCGAAAAAACUGAGAAAAUUAUUGAGUCCGCCAUUAUCGAAAACUGCCAUUCAACAACAAUGAAUACCAUGAUAACCAAAACUAACAAUUUUCUAGAAGCCGGUAACCAGAAUAUCAAAACAAAACCUAUUUUUAGUGACAUAAUUGAAGACAAAAUAUUGUUUGUACAAGGUCAGGGAAGUGGUGCAGAUAAUGAAAUGGGUAAUAUAAAAAAAGAUAGUACCGCUGUAACUAAUUCAAGACGGGUUACUAGCAAUUCCGAUUCAGAUACUGAUGACUGCGCUUCAGAUUCCAGUGAAAGGCGCAUUUCGAAUACUAUUGAUGAAACAAUAACAACAUCGUCAUAUAACAUUAGUGAUAUAUCCCUCAUACAAAAAAUCAAAAAGGGGAUCAACUUACCUAAUGAAUCUUCAAUUUUAGAGGCAGAAAGAGUUGAAGCAAAUAUUUCAAAAAAACAAUUAGCUGAAACUGCAUCGACUUCAAAGGAUUGUCAUUUAUACAUUUUAGAAAAAAAAAGCACACUUAGAAACAAGAAUGAUUCGUUGGAAAUAAUGUCAGUUAACAAGGAUGAAAAGCACCAGAAUACUAGUACUUCUUUGAAAUCCGGUCAGUAUUCAUGCAACAAACCAAAGAAAAUAACAAAAACUUGUAAUAAAGAAGCAAUGGACGAUUUUGUUGGUACAGCUAGAGAUAUUUCAUUGGGUACUGUGAAUACUUUUUAUAACUCAUCAAACAUUGAGACUGUAAAUGAAGGUUUAUGCGAAAAUCAUAAAAUGAGUGAUUCAAAUUCUACUUCAAGUAAAAAGGAAGAUGUGUUGGAUCAGCUGAAGGAUGAGAAUAAUAAAUGCUGGACUACACAACAUGAGACUACUCUAUCGAAUGUAAAAAAAAGAAGGAAAACAUGUAAUAUUGAUACGAAUAAUAUUAUACCAGAUACCCUGACUACUAUGGAACAUCCCGUUCGCCAAUCGAGAAGAAUCGCGCAGCAAAAAAUACGAGAAGAAACGAAUCGUCGGCUGAUUGAAGAAAAAAUGCUUCGCGAGUUGAAAGCGGAAUCUAUAAAAAAUAAAAAGAAAUAUUCACAGCCGAAAUCAGAAGAUGAAGAUUAUGUUGUAUCAGAGAUUGAGGAAAGCUUCAAUAUCGACAUUAAAACCAGGAAAAAAAAACGUGAUAUACCUUGGCUAACUUCAUCAUCCGAAAGCAGUAGCGAAUCGGAGCUGGAGGAAGAACCUGAGCAUUCUGAUGAUUGCAGAUCAUUCCCGCAAUCAGAUCAUGAAUUUUCCCCGGAAUCUGACGUUGAUAAUGAAUUUACAAUGCCGACGAAAAGAGCCAGAACGGUUCGUAUUAAAGGAAAUUCGAACUCUGAUAAUGACGAUGACAAUGUUGCAGAUUAUUUUGUGGAGCAUGCUUGUCAGAAAUGCGGCAGCACUGAUCACCCGGAAUGGAUUCUUCUUUGCGACUCGUGUGAUAAGGGUUAUCAUUGUUCUUGCUUGAUUCCAGUACUUUUUGUGAUACCUGAAGGAGACUGGUAUUGCCCCAAAUGUGAACAUGAUAAGUUACUAGAAAAGUUACAUGAAUCAUUAAUUUUAUUUGACAAAAUAUGUUCUCAAUUGGAUGCUGAAAAGGCGUUAAAGAAUCAUCAAAACAACAAGAUAACAAAUACAAAUGUCAUUGAAGAUUUGCAUUUUGAUGAAAAAAUAGAAAAACCCAAACACAUUUUAAAGAAAAAUAAAAAUACAGUGAGAAACCAAGAAGAAAAUCUAUUAAAUAGAAGUGAUCAUACAACAUCAAGCAAUGUUUCAUCGGAUAAUGAUUCUCUUUCGUCUGAGAAUAAUAAAUUGGCUUAUAAAUUAAGACGCAGGAAUCAAAACUGCUUGAAUUAUAAAUUCAACGAUUAUGAUGAUUUAAUUAAUUCAGCAAUUAGGCACGCAAAAUGCCAAAGUGACAGAGCUGGUGAAAAUACUGGUGGAAAGAGUAUAAAUAAUAUUCUGGAAUUGGAGAAAAAACAAAAUACUUCUUCUUUUGAGAAGGAUGUUAAAUCUGUAAUCUACAAAGUAUCUAAAAAAAGAAAAAGAUUAAAUGAUUUGAACUCUGAUGACGAUGACGAUGGGUCGGAUGAAGAUUUUAGUGAAGUCUUUUCGGACGAUGAGGAAGAAGAAAGUUUAUCAUUGACUGAAGAUAGCGAAAGCUCCUUAGAAUUACGCACAUCAAACAGAUUUCGUUCUGCAACUAUUAAAAAACAUGAUAAGGAAUUCAUCAACGAUGAUGAUGAUGGUAGUGACCUAAGCAAGCAUAAUGUACGGACACGGCUCAAUAAAACCAAAAAAAUUUAUCAAGAGUCAGAUGAAUUUGAAGAUGAAGAUUUUACUGAAAGCGAAGAAAUAGAUAGUGAAGACCUUUGUGAUGAUACUGAAACAGACAGCAGUCUGGAAAAAUGGAAAAAGAGAAAUUCUAAACUUUCUCAAUCAUAUGUUGACAUCAAAAAUGGUUUAAAAAAAAACAAAAAACGAGAAAAAAAGAUGAAGGAAGACGGUCCAUUUAAGACUAACUAUAGAAAAAAAACAAUGAUAAUGGAAACGGACUCUGAUCAAUCAACAAAAAACCCUGAUUUGCCUAACAAACGACGUACCAGAGGAAAAAAACUUCAUUAUCUCCUUGAUGAAGAUUUCGAAAGCUCUGACGAUGGUAUAACACCAGGAGUGUUGCGCCCAGAUACUCCUCCAGAAGAACGGGAGCGCUUUAUACAAAAGCAAGAAGAAAUUAAAAGAAUGUUGGCAGAAAAAAAUACCGCUGCUGCCAAAGAAUUAGCGACUCCAACAAUCUUACCACUUCCUGAGGUUGUUGCAAAAAAUAAACAGGCAGUGCUUUCAACCAUUCCGCAGCAAGUAAUAGAUAGCGCAAAAGCGCUCGAUAUCGAUUUACUAAAAAUUCCCAAAAACAUUGAUUCAGAUGAUUUUGACGACGAGUUGGCGGUUAAUUUCGCUGACCCAGAUGAUGUUAACGAAGAAGAACUGGCAAAAAUUAUGGAGGACGAGGACUUUGCCUCACACAAUUUAAAGCUAGAAGAAGAUAUGUUAAAGAACAAAAAUUUUGCAGAACACUCGGCGAAAAAAAAAAUAAGGGAUUUUGAAAGUAUUGAUCCAGCAGACAUUACAAAGCUUGAUAAAAAAAGGAUUUCAUACAGCAGCCAUUUUACACGACUCAAGAGUAAUACGGAUUCAUUGACUGAAAUGUCUAUCGCGAAACCGAAUAAUUCGAAUAAUUUGCAAAAUUAUAUUUUACCUAAGUCAAACAGUCCGCUUCAAUAUAUGUUAUUACCAUCUGAUAAAGCAUCAAGUUUACUGCAGCAAAUGAAACAGCAAGCUAUUCCUUUGCGUGACUGCGAACAGUCACCAAUGCAACCGUCUACGUUGCCUCACUCCAAUAUACACAUCCCUACAACUUCGCUACGUCAAAAAGGUUGUGUCACUCCGGAGAAAACAUUACCAUCUCUUGUAUUAGAAUCACCUUAUACGGAUUAUGCCAAUUUGCGCAGAAGGAGGCGGAAAAAAAUAACCCCCUUGAGAGGCGAUUUGUACAAAAACAUACAAAGCGAAAUGGAUGUACCGAACCUGCCUCAGUAUCAUGUGUCACUUAAUAAAAUCGAAAGUGUGACAGAAAAAAAUUGUUCAAACCUCAAAAGUUUAUGUUCAAAAAUAGUAGAAUCACCAUUAGACUACAGAAAAGCUCAACAAGGCUCGUUAUAUGCCCAAAGAAAUUUCUUCUGUGUGAUACAAAGCCAGUAAGUGAUAACUGUGGUUCCGCGCAAUGGACGGAAAAUUUCUUUUCUGGCACCCUAAUAGAGCCGAAAAUUGCGUCUUCCAAACCAGAAUCUAACAGAGGUAACAUUCCCUGUUGAAUCAAGAAAAAGAACAUUUCAACAUUUGAUGAGGCAGAAGAGGAAGAUGCAUUCCUAUCUGACAGAACAACGGUAAAUGGAUACCUCCGAUACAGCAGUGCCACCUAAGAAAAGGUUGAAAAGGGCAGCUACAUUAAUUCAAGAAUUUGAUAUAAACCGUUUGCUAGAAAACAAGGGUUUGUACCCCAUUAUGUCCGAAUAGUGCUACAUUUCUAUUUUUAGGUACUUCAAUGAUGUUAGUAACCAUUGAAAAAACGUCUGCGGUUAACGUUGAUACUAAUUUGGUCUGCAAACCCAUAGAAGAAUUUGAAACAGAGCAAACAAUUGCUACUUCUUAUAUGCUACCUGGUUCCAAUACUGCAAUUAUACAACGAAGCGAAGAUCUUGCAUGUGACCCACUAUUUGACCGCGAUGGGCAGUUGCUGAAUGUAUGACCACUGAUGAUGCGGGAAGAGAGAACGGAACAGCACAAGAAAACAGCGACACAGAAGAGGAGAGCGAUCGUGUUGAAUAUUGAGUAUCGUAGUUCUAAGUUAUCUUCAGUUGUUUUUUUAUUCGAUACCAAGCUAUCUGUAAUUCGUUAAUCUAGAUGUAAUUAAAGACUAGAACCUGGGCAAAAAAGGUUCAACACCAUGUAUU